GACAGGUGGCUGAUUCAUAGACCGGUCACUUUGCAUUGAAGCAACACUGAAUACAGACAGGUGGCUGAUUCAUAGACCGGUCACUUUGCAUUGAAGCAACACUGGAUACAGCUGGACACACAAGGAGUGGAGAACACAGAGAGUUUUGCCACGCCAGAGUCUCCUGGGUGAUUGUAGCUCAGAUCCAGCUGUUUCAGCUUGGAGGCUCUGAAGUUC